rnacentral:rRNA from 1 species
GCAAGUCGAGCGGAAACGAGAAGUAGCUUGCUACUUCGGCGUCGAGCGGCGGACGGGUGAGUAAUGCCUAGGAAAUUGCCCUGAUGUGGGGGAUAACCAUUGGAAACGAUGGCUAAUACCGCAUAAUGCCUUCGGGCCAAAGAGGGGGACCUUCGGGCCUCUCGCGUUAGGAUAUGCCUAGGUGGGAUUAGCUAGUUGGGGAGGUAAUGGCUCACCAAGGCGACGAUCCCUAGCUGGUCUGAGAGGGUGAUC